AGGCCCCAGGCCCUACGGGGCGCAGCAGGCGCGAAACCUCUGCAAUGCGGGAAACCGUGACAGGGGGAUUCCAAGUGCUCAUGCAUUGCAUGGGCUGUUCUUUGGUCUAAGUAACCAGAGGAGUAAGGGCUGGGCAAGACCGGUGCCAGCCGCCGCGGUAA
rnacentral:rRNA from 1 species